rnacentral:SRP_RNA from 1 species
GCUGGGCAUGGUGGCGCGUGCCUGUAAUCCAAGCUACUCAGGAGGCUGAGGCAGGAGAAUUGCCUGAACCCAGGAGGCAGAGGUUGCGGUGAGCUGAGAUCACGCCAUUGCACUCCAGCCUGGGUAACGAGCGAAACUCCGUCUCAAAAAAAAAAAAAACUUUAAGAGACAGGAUCUCACUGUUGCCCAGGCUGGAGUGCAGCGAGUAGCAUGAUCAUGGCUCACUGCAGCCUCAACCUCCUGGGCUCAUGUGAUCCUCCCACCU